CGUAGUUUCAGUUUAGGAUUUUUAUUAAAUUAUUAAUUUAAUUAAUUAAAUUAAUUCGAAGAUAUUCUUCAUAGAGUUUACAAAGAUGUUUUGAAUGUACAGUUUAGUUUAUGACCAUCAAUGAUAUUUAUUUCUAAGAUUAGUCAUUUUGUAAUUUUUUUAUUGUUGGUUAUAAACAAAUGUAUGUAAAGAGUUUUUAUGAAAAAAUAAAAUGUUACUACACUUUUCAUCAUUCAGUCAGAAGCAACAGUGGAAAUACAACAGUCAUUUAAAAAUUAAAAUCAAUAAUAAUUUGUUUUUGACAAUACUUAUUAAAACAAGACAGUACACGUUAUUCUCUUAUUGGUAAUUCCAAGAACCAAAUGUGUGGUAGAAAGUAUGAUGAAGUCGUCGUAAAAAAAUUUUGUGAUAAACACGGAAACAAAAGAUGUCGUAAAAAUAUCUGCUAUCGAUAGAAAUUGGGUACACAUUGGCAUUCACGAUAAAGCAAAACAAAACUGGUUUACCAUAAAGGUCUUGAUCUUUACACUUUUUGCCGAGAGUAAUUUAACUGACUCGGCAUUAUUUUUCUACUACGAUUUUGAAACAAGUCAAUCUUAUUCAUUUGAAUAUUAUAUAUGAUGGAAGGGAAAGUCUUCAGUGCUAGGUGGUUGUACGAGUAGCACGAGUAAUUCGGCGCUCGCCGUGAGAUCGCGCCCAGCUGCAUGCGUUGUCCCUGUGUAAUCAAAAGAGUGCAGAGAUGAUUUAACUUGAGUGAAUUAGUCGAAAGUAGUUCUUAUCAAAAAUGUAUGGGUAUGGUACAUCUCGGCAGAGAAUUUCUCUGCAUCACAAAAUCUCAAAGUUUUUCUCUACACGAGUCAACUGUAUAUACUAGUUUCUACACCAUAACAACUCUCCAGCAGAUUAAUUUCACAAAGUUCCAUCACUGUAUCGGAAUACCUCUAACAUGAAAAAUUUUUACAUGAGAACUUCUUUACAGAGCACUGAAUUCAAGUUGCAAAUUUUUUGUUUCGACAUUUUGUUAACAAAGUGGGCGUAAAUGGCGCUGAUAGGGGCUAAUUUUGACAAAUAGCGUAGGAGGUGAGAGGGGUUCAGAUAUAGAUUGAAAGUGGAGGGGACAGGAAGACCCUUGAAAUUAGUAUAUUGUACCGCACAAUCUCAGUGACACGAGAGGCAAACAGGUUAGCAUCAACAACUGAAUCAUUUUUGUGACUCGUGUUUAAAAGAUAUAAGUAAUAAAUCGGUUAUUUUAAAAAUGGAAGUUCAACAAGGAAUCACCUUCGGCAAGUACAAAACAACGUGUAAAGAAAUACGAAAUGGACAAUCGGGGGUCAACACAAGACUUGCAUUUGAAAGUUUCGGCAUAAUAUCAAUCCUACAUAUUGCAUUGUACUUCGAAGAUUAUUCAUUUGUGGAGUAUCUUCUCGAUCAUCAAGUUGAUGUCAACAUCAGUGAAGAAAGCUGUGGUACACCAUUACAUUUUGCUAUUGUCGAGAAAGUAAAUUACAGAAUAAUUCAAAAACUGUUAGAAGCUGGUGCAAAUGUAAAUGCUGAAGAUAAUGAAAAAUUUACGCCAUUGCAUAGAGCCGUUCACCUUAAUCGAUACAAAAUUGCUGUAUUACUUCUUGAAUCUGGUGCAAAUAUCAACGCAACUUGUGAUGCAAAAAAUGGUUUCGAUUUCUGGGCACCGUUAGAUCUUGCUAUCAUUGGUGACAAGUUGGAGAUGGUGAUGUUGUUACUCAGUUAUGAGACUGAUAUUGAUUUAAAAUUACAAACUGGAAGAUAUCCUCCAUUAGUAAUAGCUUGUCUCUAUGGAUCCGUCAGAGCGAUUGAAAUUAUUUUGGAAAAAGGUGCGGACAUUAAUUACUCGAGUGAUAGUGGUUUUAUAAUUGAAUUGCCGUUACAAGCCGCUGUGGUAUCAGGAGAUCACCAUAAAGUUAGAUUGUUGUUAAGCAAUAGUGACCUCAAGAUCAAUCAAGUGAAUAUUGAGUGUAAAACUGCACUUCAUUAUGCUGUCAGUUCUCCAUCAGAAAUUAUUCUUAAAAAUCUUUUGGAUGCUGGUAUUGAUGUGAAUGUAGUUGAUAACGGUGGUCGAUUGGCUGUGGAAUCGAAUAAUCGAGACAGUGGUAAAAAAAAAAUUAUGAUGUUGAAAAAACACAUUGUUAAGUUAAGUGUUGCUGGUUAUUGUUUAGCUGAAGGUAAUUUAAAAGCUAUUAGUGGAAAAGAGUAUGACAAUUUGCGACUUAUAUGUAGUGAAGAAAUUGAAGUAUUAAAAUUAUCUAGAAUCGAUUCAAUUAAUCUCUGUGUUUAUAGUAUACUUCAUAAAAGUGAACAUGUCUUGGCACGAAGAUUAAAACGUGUGGACGAAGAAAGUAUUUUAAGAUUUAAUUUUAAAACUGAAUUUCCUUUGUAUGGUAACAUGAUUUAUUAUAAAGUAAAGAGGGCAGCUAAUAGAAAACAACUUCUUAUAUAUGUUGAUAAUUUUACUAGUCAAGCAUUUUUAGAGUAUUUACCGGACACUUUUACCAGAAAAAUAACUAGUUAUUUUACAAAUCAUGAAUUAAAAAUUUUAAAUGCAAAUAAAUGUAAUUAUGUUCAAUGGAUAUGA